CCAGCACGAAAAGGUGAAGUUCUACUAUGGGAGGGACUCACGCUUUUAGCCUUGCACAAAUCCUCCACUGGUCUCAUGGAGCUCAAGGAGAGGUGUUUUAUUCACUGGAGAUAUCUUACAGGUGGGGAUGGACAACAAAAUAGUGAUGAUAGUGAGAUCGUAUCUAAACUAUGUACCACUCUUGUCAAGCCACACUAAAAGGAUAGGCCAGGUGAUCGAGCCAUGGGAUUUUGGGAGGCUCUACAUUGCGUUUCAGGACAGAAAGGAUGACGCUGCUUAAGCAUCACAAUUAUUGAUUGACUCUCAAGUAAUGAAUCAGACUGAAACUCGAGAUGCUUUUCUGAUUA